rnacentral:rRNA from 1 species
AACGAACGCUGGCGGCAGGCUUAACACAUGCAAGUCGAACGCCCCGCAAGGAGAGUGGCAGACGGGUGAGUAACACGUGGGAACGUACCCUUUACUACGGAACAACUCCGGGAAACUGGAGCUAAUACCGUGUGUGCCCUUUGGGGGAAAGAUUUAUCGGUAAAGGAUCGGCCCGCGUUGGAGUAGCUAGUUGGUGGGGUAAAGGCCUACCAAGGCGACGAUCCAUAGCUGGUCUGAGAGGAUGAUCAGCCACAUUGGGACUGAGACACGGCCCAAACUCCUACGGGAGGCAGCAGUGGGGAAUAUUGGACAAUGGGCGCAAGCCUGAUCCAGCCAUGCCGCGUGUGUGAUGAAGGCCUUAGGGUUGUAAAGCACUUUCACCGGAGAAGAUAAUGACGGUAUCCGGAGAAGAAGCCCCGGCUAACUUCGUGCCAGCCGCCGCGGUAACAC